rnacentral:rRNA from 1 species
CAGCCGCCGCGGUAAUACGAAGGGGGCUAGCGUUGUUCGGAAUUACUGGGCGUAAAGCGCACGUAGGCUGACAUUUAAGUCAGGGGUGAAAUCCCGGGGCUCAACCUCGGAACUGCCUUUGAUACUGGGUGUCUUGAGUGUGGAAGAGGUAAGUGGAAUUGCGAGUGUAGAGGUGAAAUUCGUAGAUAUUCGGAAGAACACCAGUGGCGAAGGCGACAUACUGGAUCAUUACUGACGCUGAGGCUCGAAAGCGUGGGGAGCAAACAGGAUUAGAUACCCGGGUAGUCCCUGUCUCUUAUAC